UACGAAGGGGGCUAGCGUUGCUCGGAAUCACUGGGCGUAAAGCGCACGUAGGCGGACUCUUAAGUCGGUGGUGAAAUCCUGGAGCUCAACUCCAGAACUGCCUUCGAUACUGGGAGUCUUGGAGUCCGGGAGAGGUGAGUGGAACUGCGAGUGUAGAGGUGAAAUUCGUAGAUAUUCGCAAGAACACCAGUGGCGAAGGCGGCUCACUGGCCCGGUACUGACGCUGAGGUGCGAAAGCGUGGGGAGCAAACAGG
rnacentral:rRNA from 1 species